AGGAGCUUGCUCCUGGAUUCAGCGGCGGACGGGUGAGUAAUGCCUAGGAAUCUGCCUGGUAGUGGGGGACAACGUUUCGAAAGGAACGCUAAUACCGCAUACGUCCUACGGGAGAAAGCAGGGGACCUUCGGGCCUUGCGCUAUCAGAUGAGCCUAGGUCGGAUUAGCUAGUUGGUGAGGUAAUGGCUCACCAAGGCGACGAUCCGUAACUGGUCUGAGAGGAUGAUCAGUCACACUGGAACUGAGACACGGUCCAGACUCCUACGGGAGGCAGCAGUGGGGAAUAUUGGACAAUGGGCGAAAGCCUGAUCCAGCCAUGCCGCGUGUGUGAAGAAGGUCUUCGGAUUGUAAAGCACUUUAAGUUGGGAGGAAGGGUUGUAGAUUAAUACUCUGCAAUUUUGACGUUACCGACAGAAUAAGCACCGGCUAACUCUGUGCCAGCAGCCGCGGUAAUACAGAGGGUGCAAGCGUUAAUCGGAAUUACU
rnacentral:rRNA from 1 species